CAUGGUGGAAAGGACCCCAGACUGUCGUCCUGACCACUCCCACCGCUGUGAAGGUAGAGGGAAUCCCAGCCUGGAUCCCCCACAGCCGUGUAAAACCUGCAGCUCCUGAAACCUGGGAGGCAAGACCAAGCCCGGACUAUCCUUGUAGAGUGACUCUGAGGAAGACGACAAGCCCUGCUCCAGUCACACCCGGAAGCUGACUGGUCCACGCACGGCCGAAGCAUGAGGAAUCUCAUCGUGGAAUUCAUUUUUCUUCAACUUUGGACUUAUACAGUAAGGGCUUCAACAGACCUUACUCAAACUGGGGACUGUUCCCAGUGUGUUCAUCAGGUCACUGAGGACAAGAGGUGCCUGCACCAUCCCAAAGCCUCGGCGGCCAGGCCAGUGCUCUCAGACACGAGGCGUCGGCUCGUUUCAGUGGAACGAGCUUUCCUCCUCCCCAGAUACCAAGAACUCGCACCACCCACCGGCACAGCAGCGGUUCAGAAUGCAGGCAUUUCCGGCUAGGUCUGGCGUGAGCUUAAACCACCCGCUGUUAAACCCUCAUGAAAAGUCACUGACAAAGUUCUCCUGCACACAGAGUUGCGGAGUUGCUGGAGAGAGGAGGGUGUCUCACAGACCUGCUGGGCCCGUUGCACCCAUACUCCCUCCCUCCCUUCUGUCCAGUCUCCCUCCACGUCCGGGAGGACACUCCAACCCUUUGGCCCCACCCUGGCCCAAGUGCACUGGCCGAAGUCCAGUUCCCCAGGUCUUGCUCCGGGGCGAGGCCGGCACAGUCUUGACUGGACGGAGGGAGGGUCUGGGGAGCGCAUGGCCUUGUUUCUCUAAGCACACCCUAAGGGGUUCCUCUCCCACUUGGGGCCCUGCUCCAGACCCUCUCUCCUGCCUGGGUCACUGCCCCAGGCUGGCCACAUUCACCCAAUGGGGGUCUGCCCCUCGCCCCAGGCCUGAGUCCUACCUCAUUUAUGCAGCUGCUUCAAUAAUGCAAGGAAGAGAUUUGUAAUGGGAAAGGUAUUUUAUUUCUUUUUGAAAUUAUUUCCAGCUGAAUGAUGUUAGUAAAAAUACAGAGAGAAUACAAC
rnacentral:lncRNA from 1 species